CCUACGGGAGGCAGCAGUGAGGAAUAUUGGUCAAUGGACGAGAGUCUGAACCAGCCAAGUAGCGUGAAGGAUGACUGCCCUAUGGGUUGUAAACUUCUUUUAUAAAGGAAUAAAACGAGGCACGUGUGCCUUUUUGUAUGUACUUUAUGAAUAAGGAUCGGCUAACUCUGUGCCAGCAGCCGCGGUAAUACGGAGGAUCCGAGCGUUAUCCGGAUUUAUUGGGUUUAAAGGGAGCGUAGAUGGGUUGUUAAGUCAGUUGUGAAAGUUUGCGGCUCAACCGUAAAAUUGCAAUUGAUACUGGCAGUCUUGAGUACAGUUGAGGUAGGCGGAAUUCGUGGUGUAGCGGUGAAAUGCUUAGAUAUCACGAAGAACCCCGAUUGCGAAGGCAGCUUACUAAACUGUAACUGACAUUGAUGCUCGAAAGUGUGGGUAUCAAACAGGAUUAGAUACCCUAGUAGUC
rnacentral:rRNA from 1 species